rnacentral:lncRNA from 1 species
CGGGAAUAUCGUAUCAAUUGAGGGAUAUAUACACAGAUAGAGAUUUAGAAGUACAUCAUGAAUCAAAGAUAGGUGUAUAAAUCUAAAGCUUGGGCAAUAUAACAAAAAAAGAAACCAAAGGGACAUUCAAACUCAUAAGCUGAAAAUAAAAUGACAAGCCAAUGGGUAAAAAAAGAAAAAGACCAACAGACAAACAAUAGUAAACAAGACAAAACAUAGAAAACUAAAGUCUCAGCAAGACGAACUGCACAGAA